CCAGAACCAGCGUAAGUCGAGGAUAGCC
rnacentral:sRNA from 1 species